CAGUGCAAGAAACAGACAUUAGAACUGCAUUUAUUUCUAUAAUUGCCCAUUUGAAUGGCCUUUUCUUUUUCCUUCGACAAUGCCUUCGCCUAGCCACAGCAGCUCCCUCAUACAGACUCCGCAAGCCAAGAGGCCGUGGAGGCAAAUGCAGACAGCCAGCACACCUCGAACAGCCACCUUGACUGCGGGUGUGUCACCCUAGUCGCCAAGGAAACAUUUGAGGGAAAGCGACAGGCAAUGUGAACAGCCACUUCUCCAUGUAAACGAUACUCUUUCUCUCGGAUGACUCCUACGUUCGCCACGCCAGCACACUUGUGCACAAAGAUGCCGCGGAGGCACGUGCAGGUCAGAGGCAAGAAGCAGUGGCACUGGUGUCGACAUUCGCCCAAUUUCUUUUUCUUACACUGAGGCAGCCAGCACACCUCGAACAGCCACCUUAACUGCGGGUGUGUUAGUAGAUUCCUGUUGUACAUAUGCUCAUAAUAAACUUCAGUAAACUUGAACUUGAUAAUAAACUUGAAGGCAAAUGGGA